rnacentral:lncRNA from 1 species
GGGAAGCCACCAUCCCCACCAGGCCCUCGAGGCCUUCCCUUGGUGGGAAGCCUUCCCUUCCUUCAACCUGACCUUCACUCCUACUUCGCCGAACUAGCUCGUACCUACGGGCCUGUCGUGAAACUCCAGCUCGGGAGCAAGCUUGGGAUCCUGGUGACCUCCCCAUCCGCCGCCCGGGAAGUACUUAAAGACCAAGACAUCGUGUUUGCCAACCGUGAUGUGCCUGUGGCUGGCAUGUUAUUGACGGGCGGGCGUGAUAUAGUGUGGAACCCCUACGGUCCUGAAUGGAGGAUGUUGAGAAAGGUAUGUGUACUCAAGAUGCUUAGCAACGCUACUUUGGACAAAGUUUAUUCUCUUCGCCGUAGAGAAGUACGAGAAACCGUGGGUUAUAUGCAUAGCACUGCCGGAUCGCCUGUAAACGUCGGUGAGCAAAUGUUUUUAACUAUAUUGAAUGUGGUCACCAGUAUGUUAUGGGGUGGGACGGUGGAGGGUGACGCCAGGGCGAGCCUUGGUGCGGAGUUCAGGCACGUCAUCUCAGAAGUGACUGAGAUAUUGGGUCUGCCCAAUAUUUCGGACUUUUUCCCAGUCCUGGCCCCGCUUGAUUUGCAAGGUCUAAUCAAACGUAUAGGAAAGCCACUGGAGAGGUUGAAUGGGAUCGUUGAUAAAAUAAUUGAUCAACGGCUGAAUGCGGAGAGGGAAAUUGGGAGCACAGCAGGGAAUUUUAAGGACUUUUUACAGUUUUUAUUACAGUUGAAGGAUGAGGAAGAUUCCAAGACACCGAUGACCAUGAACCAUAUCAAAGCCUUGCUCUUGGUGAGUUCUAAACAAUUCUAAAUCGUACUUUUCUUUUCUUUUUGUGAAAAGUUCUAGAUCUUACUUUUAGAUAUUAGUUGUAGACUGAAAACUUUCUGGUAUAUAGAAUUAUUCAUAAGUAGUUUAAAGCAAAGUUUUAUGAAUUUAAGAUUAAUAUCUAUAAUAUAUAUAAAAGUAGAAUAUUUCAAUUUUUUUAAAUUUUUUUUAUUAAGUCUUCGAUUGAAUGACAAGUGUCAUUCAAUUAGAAUUCUUUUUUAUUUUUGACUUUUUGUUUUUUAUUAAAUUAAAUUUUUUUACACUUUAUGUUAAAAAUAAGUUGUUUUUAACAAUUGAAGAGUUUUUUUUUUACUUUUAUUUAUUUUAAUAAAAAAUACUUAAAAAUAAUAAUUUUUAACUUUUAAUUCUUAAAAGAUAGAUUCAUUUAAUAGCUAUCAAUUAUAAUUUAAUAUUAUAUUUUGUCUAUAUUCUCUUAUUCUACAUGAACCUGAAUCUAUAAUAUAUAGAUAUCUCUUUUAUACUUAAAUAUUUAAAUUUCAAUAGAUAUCCAUCCAAUUCAUUAUAUAAAAGUAGGAUAAUUGAUUUGGUCAAUUAAUUGAUAUUUGUCAUUCUUGAUUAAAUUAAUUUUUUUUACACCUUAUGUCAAAACUACAUUGCUUUUGACAUUUGAAAGGUUUUUUUUCUUUUUUACUUUUAUUUAUUUUAGUAAAAAAUAUUUGAAAAUAAUAAUUUCUAACUUUUAAUGCUUAUAAGAUAGAUUUAUUUAAUAUUUAUCAAUUACAAUUUAAUAUUAUUUUUUAUCUAUAUUCUCUUAUUCUACAUCAACUUGAAUCUAUAGUAUAUAGACAUAUUUUUUGUACAUGAAUGUUUAAAUUCUAAUAAACAUCCAUCCAAUUCAUUUAAUAAAAUUAAAAAGUCAAAAGGGUCUCCUCAUUUCUCAAUAUAUAUGGCACACAGUUAUCAUUGAAUAAAUAAAUCAAUUGAAUUUAAUAACUUUUAGCUAUUCAUUUUAUAUAUAAAAAACAUAUAAUACUAAAAAUUACUAACUAUUUUAUAUUGGUAGGAUAUUUACAUUAUACUAUUGUCUUAUAUUCUACAACUGUUUAUUUUAAACUGUUAAUAGUAUAGGUUAUAUACUUUCUCAUUUCUUAAUAGUUUAUUAUACAUCUAAUAAUAUUUAAUAGGAUUAUCGUUUUUUUUAAUAAAUUUUGUUUUAAAUAGGAUAACUAAUUAGGUCAAUUAGUUGUCAUUCUGAAUUAAAUUAAUUUUUUUUUACACCUUAUGUUAAAGUUGCGUUGUUUUUUACAUUUAAAGGGUUUUUUAUUUUUAUUUAUUUCAGUGAAAAAAAUAUUUGAAAACAAUAAUUUUUAAUUUUUUAAUUCUUNUUUUUAUUUAUUUCAAUGAAAAAAAUACUUGAAAACAAUAAUUUUUAAUUUUUAAUAUUUAGAAUAUAGAUUCAUUUAAUAUUUAUCAAUUGUAAUUUAAUAUUAUUUUUUGUUUAUAUCCUCUUAUUUUGCAUGAACCUCCAUAAUAUUUAAAUAUCUAUUUUAUACAUGAAUGUUUAAAUUUCAAUAAAUAUUUAUCCAAUUCAUUGAACAAAAUAAAAAAGUCAAUAGGGUUUAUUUAUUUCUUAAUAUACAUAGCACAUAGUCAUCAUUGAAUAAAUAAAUCAACUAAAUUUGACAAUAUUUAGCUAUUCAUUUUAUAUAUAAAAGAUAUAUUAUUAUAAAUUAGUAAUUAUUUUAUAUUGAUAGCAUCUUUAUAUUAUACGGUUGCCUUAUAUUGUAUAACUGUUUAUCUUAAUCUGCCAAUAAGAUAUGUUAUACACUCUCUCAUUUCUUAAUAUUCUACUGUUUUAUAAUCAUAUAUGUAGGUGCAAGUUUUCGGUAAUUGAAAUCAGAGUAAAUAAUUAUUUUUAAUUAAUUUCAGUUUAUUUUUUUCUCUAUCAGUAAAAAUCAGACAUUCAUGCAGUUAAUUAAUACAAUAUUACUUUUUUUACAAACUCUUUUAAAGGAACCAAAUUGAAAUCAACUCUAACAUAAUCAAUAUUUUCUGUGAUCUUUUUCGUAGCAUAGCUACGGACACCAUCUUAAUAUGUAUAAAACUGCAAACAAGCCUAUCAUUGCUAGAGUUGGUACCUAAAUUAAGUCAUUGCAAUACACUAAUCUGCACUAAGCUAUCAGAUUAUUCAUUGACAAAAAACCAAAAAAAAAGACACCUUCUUGACUUUUUAAUUUGUGUUAUUUCGUUCUCCACUGCUUGGAGUAGGCAUUAUUGUUUUUUCUUCAAAAUCCUGGCCGCCGGUUGUGGAUAUGGCGGUGGAGACGAGGGGUUCAUUGCCUCUCGGAUAUCAUAAAAUAGAGAUUAAUUAAAUUUAGUCAUAACUCGUAAGGGGACAACAGAGCUUGGAAAGAGUGCACAAUCUUUCGGCACGUUUUCUUGUCCUUGCAUGUUGUAUCCCACGAUAGAAAAACCACCGCAUUCAGUUUUAUUUUUCUACCAAGCAAAAGAUCUGUUGUUAGAGCAUACCAUGAAUUAAAAAGAAAAACUAAUUUCCCAGUCACAUUAUUAGCCACCCUCCUUUAACUUGUGUUAUUAUGAAUGGGUGACAAUGAGAGUGAGACCUAUAAUUGAAAAGUGGCUAUGAAAAUUUCAAAGCCCAAUAAUGGCUAUGAGGCGUACUAAUACAUGGACUUUUUAAUACUUUGGACAGGAUAUGGUGGUGGGAGGAUCAGAGACGUCCUCUAACUCAAUUGAGUUUACACUGGCUGAAGUCAUCAACAAACCAGAAGUCAUGAGAAAAGCACAGCAAGAAUUGGAAGAAGUAGUUGGCAAAGACAAGAUUGUAGAAGAAGCCCACAUUCACAAAUUACCAUAUCUACUUGCAAUUAUGAAAGAGUCAUUGCGUUUGCACCCAGCCCUCCCUCUCCUAGUCCCGCACAGCCCCAGUGAAGACUGUUCAGUUGGCGGUUACUGUAUCCCUAAGGGUUGUAGGGUGUUUGUCAACGCCUGGGCAAUUCACAGAGACCCUUCUGUCUGGGAAAAUCCGUUGGAGUUCAACCCUGACAGGUUUUUGAACAGCAAAUGGGAUUUUAGUGGGAGUGACUUUAAUUAUUUUCCAUUCGGGUCUGGCAGAAGAAUCUGUGCUGGAAUGGCAAUGGCUGAGAGGAUGGUGUUGUAUUCAAUUGCCACGCUCUUGCAUUCUUUUGAUUGGAAAGUGCCGGAGGGUAUGAAGUUGGAUCUUUCAGAGAAGUUCGGGAUUGUCUUGAAGUUGAAGAAUCCACUGGUUGCGGUUCCGACGCCAAGGUUAUCGAAUACAGCUCUUUAUGAAUAAAAAUUUUAGAUUGGAAUCAAUGCCCAUGCUGAGAGGUAUAAAGAAGUUGCUUUAACAGGUUUGGGAUUAUUCAAUUUCUCAAUCUAUUAUGAAGUCAAUUAUUGUACCAAUUGAAUAGUUACACAUUUUGAUAACUUACUUUUGAGAUAAUAUAUUUUCGAUUCUCUUCCAAUUAAUAGUUACUUUUGUUUAUAUGCAAACUGUUUAGGCAUAUAAUGACUUAGAACGGUGUAAUUAGUUUUUUAUAUUAUUUUCUUUUAAUACAAAAAAGAUAUAUAAAUAAAGGAUAAAAUAUCUCACUUUUUAAAUUUUAAUCGAAAUUUUUAAUAGAUCUAUUAGUUUUUCAAAUAAAUACUCCAUUAAAAAAAAAUAUUUUAUUAGACAUAUAAAUUUAGCCGUUGGUCAACCGUUAAUGUUUACAUUAAUUUGAUGAUAUGAUAAUAUUGUAAUAAUAAUUUUAUUUUUUAUUAAUUUUAAAAAUUAUUAUUAUAUAAUUUUUAUUAAUUUUUAUCAGUUUUUUAAUUAGUUUUUUAUUAAUUAAAAAAAAGAGUGCUCCCCAAGAUAAGAGAGCACCGAGGGAAAACUAGAUCGAUACUCCUUUUUUUAUUUUUUUAAAAAUUUAAUGAUAAUUUUUUAAAUUAAUAAAAAAAAGAUAUUUUAAUCUUUUCAUAACAUUUGUUAAUGAUGUUUACAUUUUUGGGUAAAAUGUUUAUUUUGAAAAUUAAUGGAUCCGUUUAAAAUUUUGAUUAAAGUUUAGAUAUGUGGAGGUAUUUUAUCUUAAAAUAAAUUCAUGUUAAAUAAUAUUUGAAUUUAAAUUAAUAUUCAAUAUAAUAUAUGCUAUAUACCUCUUUCCCUUAUUUGCCUUGACUCAUGAGUCCUUGACUAUUGGCCUAUUUAAGAUUGCUUACUUUUUAUACUUAUGAUAUUAAUUGCAAUCCAAUUAAUAUGAUAUCAUUGUGUGGUAAAUUACAGAGAUCUGCAUAUCAUUGACAAAAGAAGAGUCCAAUGCAUAUAAUUGCAUAUAUGAGAUUCUCGAUCAUCUUAUCUCUAUAGUAAAUAUGACACAUUUAACUUAAUCCAAAAUUGAAGAUUAAGAGUUUUUAAUAUGACAAGACUUUCUGUUUUAUAUAUAUAUAUAUAUAUAAACAAACAGCAUCCAAAUUGUUGCAUUAAAUUUGUUGUCAAAGUAAAUUCUUUAUAGUAACUCAUAAAUUUUCAUAAAAUAUACUUAUUUUGUCUCAUUUUAUUUGUCUAUUAUUGAUUUUUUUUAUUAAUAAAUUCAAUUUUGACUAUUUAUUUUUAAUAAAAUUAUAAAAUUUUAAAAGUAAAUUUUCCAAAUUUUGAGUUUCAAACUUUUCACAAAAGAUUUUUUUGAGAUUUUAAUGUUAUAUAAUAUUUUAAAAAAUAAUAGUUAAAACUAAAUUCAUUUAAUCUAAAAAAUCAAUAAAAGACAAAUAAAAUGGACAGAGAAAGUUUUUUUUUUUAUAAGAUACUAGAGUAUGGCCCGUGCUAUGCCUGCAAGUAGGUACGAAAUGGUUAACAUAACAAAUAUAUUAGUUUUUCAGUUAUAGAAAUAUUUAUACACUACAUUGAUUUAAAAAGUUGCAAAUAACCCAACCAAAACCCUUAAGAGAGAGUUUUAAUAUAUAGUUAUAGAUAUAGGUAUUACAAUAUUAUGAUACAUUAAGAAAAAAAAUCAUCCAUGAAUAAUAUUUUUAAAAAAUUAGUAUAUUAAUCAGUAAUCAUUCAUGAAACAAAGUUAAUUUUCCCUUUUAAUAUAAAUUAAACUAAGACAAAAAUAUCAGUGAUAAAUAAAUAAAAAUUUUCCUUGAAUUUCUAAGAAAUGAAUAAGCUAACUUGUUCACCAAUCAGUUAGUUAGAGAAGUUCAUUCUUCUAUUGCCUAAAUAACAAUAUUCAUAAUUAAUUAAAGCUAGUUCACUGGCAUUUUUUAUGAGAAAGACAGAAUUAAUUGGGAGAUCAAUUUCAGUUGCAGAUUCUCAGGGCAUUCGAAAAAUUAUUCCUAUCAAUUUUUUUUUUUUGUUUUUGGCAAGUUUUCUUAUACUUUGCUAUGUUGGAAUAUGUAAAAAGGAAAUGCAACCAAUCAAGUCAAUUAAGAUAUGAGACAGCAGACUCUACCAAUCUUCUAAAGAAGCCUUGACUAUACAUGGGGGAUAUUGUUCUUGGUCAUAUACAUAAAUACAGUCACGUCGGCUUCAGGCAAAAUAUUGCUAGUUGAUAUGAGAAAUAUUUAAUUUAAUGCAAAUUGGGAUCUUUUUUCCUUUGUUAAAUUUAAGUGAAAGAGCAUCAAACUGAAUGCCUAAAUCAAGAAUUCAUGGAAGCUCUACCCUCAAAACAUGCUUAAUACCAUGACAAAGAAUCAAGAAUCAUAAGAAAACAUAAAAAACUUAAGCCCUUAGAACUAUAAGUGUUAUAAUUAUCAACUAAUUCCCAAAUGAAGGGAUAAUAUAAACACACAUAACCAAAAAAGAUUUCAUUAUCUAUCAGCCAUAACUCAUAAAUCUACAUAUUAUCCAAUUCCAGUAUUAGAAUUAAGAUAAAACCUUAGGAACCGUGUUAAAUUUUAAGAGAAAAUAGCACCAUUUUCAUACUUAGAAGAUAAAUUGCAUAAACUUAAAAUCCGUAAUUCUUAAUUAAACAUAAUCAUCCCAAACAUUAAAUACCAACAAACAACACCAUUCUUUGAAUGAUAAAAAAGUAUAAAAAAAAUAUUUGUUACGGAGGAUCAAAAAUUUGAAAAAAUCAUUUACCAUUUCAUAAUAGAAAAUGAGUUGGAAAUCAAAGAAGAAACCAAAAAAAAAUCAAAAACCAUAAAUGGCCAAAUACCCAACUAAACAACUAAUAAAAAAAAAAGCAAAAAUAAAAAAGCCAAAAAAGAUGUAGAAGUAGAACAUGCAAAAGAGGUGAAUAAAAACAGGAAACAAACCAAAGUAAAGAAGAGAAAGAAAAAGACCAAAAUGGAAUGAAACAACAGGCAAGGAAGCUAAACAAAUAAGGCGGAAAAGAAACGAAAAACAUAAAAACACAUAGAACUCUCCAGAAUUGAGUUGAAAUGAAUAUAAAAGUAAUUGAAUUAAAUAAAUAGCUUAAAACAGCCUCCAAGUAAAAAGCACAUUUACAAUCAAAAGACAAUAGAGUCCUUGAAAAUGGAAAAAACACUAACAAAAUCAUGGAAAAAUCUCUACUAUAGAAAAUCUCUGACAUAGAAGUUGCGUGGAGCAAUUGAGAAUCAUCUACAUUGAGCCAAACAUGUACAGCAGCCCCACAAGCCAACAAAUCUAUGCCUCUAUAAUAAAACUCUGCCCUAAGGGCUUUAUUGAGCCGACGUGGGCUAAUUGCUCGGGUGGAUCAAUAUUGAGUUGAUGAAAACUUACAUGAAUGGAAUGAAAAUAAAUUGAAAUUGAAAGCAGCACAUGGCGCAGGCCAACUGCUCGAGUAGGCCAACAUUGAGCAGAUGAAAACUCACAUGAAUGGAAUUUCACAAAUAGAGCCAUUCCAAUUACACGCCAUGUGUUAUGCAAUUGACAAAUUCAGACGGUACUUAAUUGAAGCCCAUAGGGGAGAGUUUUCUUAUAGAUGGUAUAAGAACUUGAUAAUUUUUAGUAAAAUACCAUUGUCUUUCAAGAAAAAAGAAGGAAGGUGGUUUGAGCCUUUAAUUUUGACUUAAUUGAACUAGUUUCAGUCAUACUAUGUCCGUUCCGACAUAGUGGGAGCGAAGGAGAGAAAAUAGGAAAAUGUUUUUUUGGGUUGAGUGUACAAAUGCACCUAAAAUAGAUGUGGAUCUUAUCCACUCCGUUAAAUCCCUUUGCCAUACUCCAACUAAGCACGAAAGGUAAGGAUCCUUUCUAACUUUUUGCUACAGAACAAAUAUAAAGGCCAAUUUUGCACAAUUUUCCUACCACAUUUUUGCAGCCUCUACCUUGUUAUCCCUUUACGAUGACUCUCAUCUCAAGUUCUCUCCGUUUUGACUACGCUUACUCUAAAAUUUGGUCAUGGUUAAGCAAGAAUACCGACGGAAUUGAUGAUUUCUCACGCCUCUUCUUCACCCUUGUUGGUGUUUUUGCCAUUUUUUCGUAUACAUGGAUGUACAUCAAAUCUAAGAACAAGGGGAAGCCACCAUCCCCACCAGGCCCUCGAGGCCUCCCCUUGGUGGGAAACCUUCCCUUCCUUCAACCUGACCUUCACUUCUACUUCGCCGAACUAGCUCGUACCUAUGGGCCUGUCGUGAAACUCCAGCUUGGGUGCAAGAUUGGGAUCCUGGUGACCUCCCCAUCCACCGCCCGGGAAGUACUUAGAGACCAAGACAUCGUGUUUGCCAACCGUGAUGUGCCUGCGGCUGCCCUGUUAGUAACGGGCGGGCG